rnacentral:rRNA from 1 species
AACGAACGCUGGCGGCAUGCCUAACACAUGCAAGUCGAACGGGAACUUCGGGUCUAGUGGCGCACGGGUGCGUACCGCGGGGGGACCUGCCCUUAGGUUCGGUGUCCCUCCCCGUAGGGUGUGCUAAUACAGGUUAAUGUCUUCGGGCCAAGGAUUUCGCGCCUUUGGGUGGGCCCGCGUUGGUUUAGCUGGUUGGUAGGGGAAAAGCAUCCCAAGGCGACGAUCCAGAGCUGGUCGGUGAGGAUGAUCAGCCACACUGGGACUGCGACACGGCCCAGACUGCUGCGGGAGGCAGCAGUGGGGAAUAUUGGACAAGGGGCGAAAGCCUGAUCCAGCAAUGCCGCGUGAGUGAUGAAGGCCUUAGGGUUGUAAAGCGCCUUUACCCGAGAUGAUAAUGACAGUACCGGGAGAAUAAGCCCCGGCUAACUCCGU